UACAGAGGGGGCAAGCGUUGUUCGGAAUUACUGGGCGUAAAGGGCGCGUAGGCGGCCCUUCUAAGUCGAACGUGAAAUCCCUGGGCUCAACCCAGGAACUGCGUCCGAUACUGGAAGGCUUGAAUCCGGGAGAGGGAUGCGGAAUUCCAGGUGUAGCGGUGAAAUGCGUAGAUAUCAUCAGGAACACCAGUGGCGAAAGCGGCUUACUGGGUCUCUUCUGACGCUGAGAUACGAAAGCUAGGGGAGCGAACGGG
rnacentral:rRNA from 1 species